rnacentral:tRNA from 1 species
GCUCCAGUGGCGCAAUUGGUUAGCGCAUGGUACUUAUAAUGCCAAGGUUGUGAGUUCGAUCCUCACCUGGAGCA